rnacentral:rRNA from 1 species
UACGAAGGGGACUAGCGUUGUUCGGAAUCACUGGGCGUAAAGCGCACGUAGGCGGCUUUGUCAGUCAGGGGUGAAAUCCCGGGGCUCAACCUCGGAACUGCCUUUGAUACAGCAAGUCUUGAGUCCGAUAGAGGUGGGUGGAAUUCCUAGUGUAGAGGUGAAAUUCGUAGAUAUUAGGAAGAACACCGGUGGCGAAGGCGGCCCACUGGAUCGGUACUGACGCUGAGGUGCGAAAGCGUGGGGAGCAAACAGG